GGUUUGUUUUAGUGAAGUAACUGCUGCCAGUAAUGCAGUCCGACAGAUGCAAAACUUCCCAUUUUAUGUAAAACCUAUGAGAAUUCAAUAUGCAAAAACAAAGUCAGACUGUGUUGCUAAAGAAGAGGGAAGCUUUGUUCCAAGGGAAAAGAAAAAGAAACAAGAGGAGAAGGCUGAGAAAAAGUGGUAUGCUGAUGAAUCAAAAC
rnacentral:lncRNA from 1 species